UCCCUGGUAGUAUAUCGGUUUAGUACACGCGCCUGUCAUAACCAAGAAUUGGUGUUGGUUUCUUUCCGCGCGAAAGCUGGGUUCGACUCCCAGCCAGGGAG